rnacentral:rRNA from 1 species
UAAUACGAAGGGGGCUAGCGUUGUUCGGAAUUACUGGGCGUAAAGCGCGCGCAGGCGGUCCUUCAAGUCAGGGGUGAAAGCCCAGGGCUCAACCCUGGAAUGGCCUUUGAGACUAGAGGACUUGGGUACGGGAGAGGUGAGUGGAAUUCCGAGUGUAGAGGUGAAAUUCGUAGAUAUUCGGAAGAACACCAGUGGCGAAGGCGGCUCACUGGCCCGUUACCGACGCUCAGGCGCGACAGCGUGGGGAGCAAACAGGAUUAGAUACCCUGGUAGUCCACGCCGUAAACGAUGGAUGCUAGCCGUUGGUAAGCAUGCUUAUCAGUGGCGCAGCUAACGCAUUAAGCAUCCCGCCUGGGGAGUACGGCCGCAAGGUU